ncrna:Polaribacter sp. MED152 SAM-I/IV variant riboswitch
UGGCAGUAUCAGGAACGCAAGAAUUGCGUACCAACCGAGCAAAAAAGCUACGGUGGUUUAGUAUACGGACAGUUCUGUCAAAAUAAAUGAACAUCCA